rnacentral:rRNA from 1 species
GUGUGAUAAGGGAACCCUCAGUGCUCAUGCUUUGCAUGGGCUUUUGCCAAGAGUAGAAAUCUUGGCGAAUAAGUGGUGGGUAAGACUGGUGCCAGCAGCCGCGGUAACACCAGCGCCACGAGUAGGAAUCAUUUUUAUUUGGCCUAAAGCGUCCGUAGCUGGUUUAGUAAAUUUCUUGUGAAAUCAUUGGACUUAAUCUAAUGGCGUGCAGGAAAGACUGCUAGACUUGGAACCGGGAGGAGUCAGAGGUAUUCCAUGAGGAGCGGUAAAAUGCAUUAAUCCAUGGAGGACCGCCUGUGGCGAAGGCGUCUGACUAGAACGGAUUCGACAGUGAGGGACGAAAGCUAGGGGAGCGAUCCGGAUUAGAUACCCGAGUAGUCCUAGCUGUAAACUCUGUGAGCAAGGUGUUGCACAUUCCACGAGAAUGUGCAGUGUCGAAACGAAGGUGUUAAGCUCACCGCCUGGGAAGUACGGUC